CAGAGCAUAGUAUAAUUAGUAUACCUUGAUUACAACAAGAAGGUUAAGCUCUAAA
rnacentral:tRNA from 1 species